rnacentral:piRNA from 1 species
UGAAUUAAGUAAUCUUGGUCCGUAUAC